rnacentral:rRNA from 1 species
UACGGGGGGGGGCAAGCGUUGUUCGGAAUUACUGGGCGUAAAGGGCUCGUAGGCGGCCAACUAAGUCAGACGUGAAAUCCCUCGGCUUAACCGGGGAACUGCAUCUGAUACUGGAUGGCUUGAGUUCGGGAGAGGGAUGCGGAAUUCCAGGUGUAGCGGUGAAAUGCGUAGAUAUCUGGAGGAACACCGGUGGCGAAGGCGGCAUCCUGGACCGGCAUUGACGCUGAGGCGCGAAAGCUAGGGGAGCAAACGGG